AAGUAAGAAGCAAAUAAGCAAUUAGUUUCGACCUAAAAAAAGAUAUUUAAACCAUCCUUACUUA
rnacentral:tRNA from 2 species